AAAUUAUAAUAAAAUAUUUAUAAAUUUAACUAAAUUAUACAAUAUUAUUUAGUGCAUUCAAAUAUGAGAUACACAGAAAUUAAUUAUUUAUAGGUGCCAAUGGCAUCAUCAUUCACAUCUAUUGGAACUUAACGGCUGGCUACUCCAAAUUCUCUCCCAUCUCCCUCUCUCUCAUUCUUCCUUUUGUGAGCUCUUUGAAUUGGCAU
rnacentral:misc_RNA from 1 species